rnacentral:rRNA from 1 species
AGAGUUUGAUCCUGGCUCAGAUUGAACGCUGGCGGCAUGCUUUACACAUGCAAGUCGAGCGGCAGCGCGGGGGCAACCCUGGCGGCGAGCGGCGAACGGGUGAGUAAUACAUCGGAACGUGUCCCGUAGUGGGGGAUAACCCGGCGAAAGCCGGACUAAUACCGCAUAUGCUCUACGGAGGAAAGUGGGGGACCCGCAAGGGCCUCACGCUAUGGGAGCGGCCGAUGUCCGAUUAGCUUGUUGGUGAGGUAACGGCUUACCAAGGCGACGAUCGGUAGCUGGUCUGAGAGGAUGAUCAGCCACACUGGGACUGAGACACGGCCCAGACUCCUACGGGAGGCAGCAGUGGGGAAUUUUGGACAAUGGGGGCAACCCUGAUCCAGCCAUGCCGCGUGCGGGAAGAAGGCCUUCGGGUUGUAAACCGCUUUUGUCCGGAAAGAAAAGGUAUUCCCUAAUACGGAGUGCACUUGACGGUACCGGAAGAAUAAGCACCGGCUAACUACGUGCCAGCAGCCGCGGUAAUACGUAGGGUGCGAGCGUUAAUCGGAAUUACUGGGCGUAAAGCGUGCGCAGGCGGUUCGUGAUGUCUGAUGUGAAAGCCCCGGGCUCAACCUGGGAAUGGCAUUGGAAACUAGCGGGCUGGAGUGUGGCAGAGGGGGGUGGAAUUCCACGUGUAGCAGUGAAAUGCGUAGAGAUGUGGAGGAACACCGAUGGCGAAGGCAGCCCCCUGGGCUAACACUGACGCUCAUGCACGAAAGCGUGGGGAGCAAACAGGAUUAGAUACCCUAGUAGUCC